GAUGAACGCUAGCUACAGGCUUAACACAUGCAAGUCGAGGGGCAGCAUUUCAGUUUGCUUGCAAACUGGAGAUGGCGACCGGCGCACGGGUGAGUAACACGUAUCCAACCUGCCGAUAACUCGGGGAUAGCCUUUCGAAAGAAAGAUUAAUACCCGAUAGCAUAGUAUUUCCGCAUGGUUUCACUAUUAAAGAAUUUCGGUUAUCGAUGGGGGUGCGUUCCAUUAGAUAGUUGGCGGGGUAACGGCCCACCAAGUCAACGAUGGAUAGGGGGUUCUGAGAGGAAGGUCCCCCCACAUUGGAACUGAGACACGGUCCAAACUCCUACGGGAGGCAGCAGUGAGGAAUAUUGGGUCAAUGGACGAGAGUCUGAACCAGCCAAGUAGCGUGAAGGAUGACUGCCCUAUGGGUUGUAAACUUCUUUUAUACGGGAAUAAAGUGGAGUAUGCAUACUCCUUUGUAUGUACCGUAUGAAUAAGGGA
rnacentral:rRNA from 1 species